CAAUAGCGUAUAUUAAAGUUGUUGCAGUUAAAAAGCUCGUAGUUGGAUUUGUGGCGUACGGUGUGUUCCGGGCACUUGUUGUCUGAGUAACCUGCUGUUGCCAUCCUUGGGUGGAACCUGUGUGGCAUUAGGUUGUCGUGCAGGGGAUGCCCAUCAUUUACUGUGAAAAAAUUAGAGUGUUCAAAGCAGGCUUAUGCCGUUGAAUAUAUUAGCAUGGAAUAAUGAGGUAGGACUUUCUUGCUAUUUUGUUGGUUUGCGCAAAGAGGUAAUGAUUAAUAGGGACAGUUGGGGGUAUUCGUAUUCCAUUGUCAGAGGUGAAAUUCUUGGAUUUUUGGAAGACGAACUACUGCGAAAGCAUUUACCAAGGAUGUUUUCAUUAA
rnacentral:rRNA from 1 species